rnacentral:rRNA from 1 species
CCCUUAGAUGUUCUGGGCCGCACGCGUGCUACACUGAUUGGAUCAGCGGGUCAGGUUGCGCGAAAGCGUUUCCUAAUCUUUAAAUCCGCUCGUGAUGGGGAUUGACGGUUGCAAUUUUCUGUCAUGAACGAGGAAUACCUUGUAAGCGCGGGUCAUCAUCCCGCGCUGAAUACGUCCCUGCCCUUUGUACACACCGCCCGUCGCUCCUACCGAUUGAGUGGUCCGGUGAGGCUUUGGGAUCUGAGCGGAAAGAGCGUUUCGCUGUUUCUGCUCGGAAAACUCAGUCGAACCUUAUCAUUUAGAGGAAGGAGAAGUCGUAACA